CGGAAAGCCUGACGCAGCGACGCCGCGUGAGGGAAGAAGGCCUUCGGGUUGUAAACCUCUUUCAGGAGGGACGAAGCCACUCGGGUUAAUACCCCAGAGGGUGACGGUACCUCCAGAAGAAGCCCCGGCUAACUACGUGCCAGCAGCCGCGGUAAUACGUAGGGGGCAAGCGUUGUCCGGAAUCAUUGGGCGUAAAGCGCGUGUAGGCGGCCAGAUAAGUCCGCUGUGAAAUCUCGAGGCUCAACUUCGAGCUGUCGGUGGAAACUGUCUGGCUAGAGUCCGGAAGAGGAGAAUGGAAUUCCUGGUGUAGCGGUGAAAUGCGCAGAUAUCAGGAAGAACACCCGUGGCGAAGGCGGUUCUCUGGGACGGUACUGACGCUGAGACGCGAAAGCGUGGGGAGCGAACAGGAUUAGAUACCCUGGUAGUCCACGCCGUAAACGAUGGGAACUAGGUGUGGGCGGUGUCGACUCCGUCCGUGCCGAAGCUAACGCAUUAAGUUCCCCGCCUGGGGAGUACGGCCGCAAGGCUA
rnacentral:rRNA from 1 species